UAGGGAAUCUUCCGCAAUGGACGCAAGUCUGACGGAGCAACGCCGCGUGAGUGAAGAAGGUUUUCGGAUCGUAAAACUCUGUUGUAAGAGAAGAACAAAUUGUAGAGUAACUGCUACAGUCUUGACGGUAUCUUACCAGAAAGCCACGGCUAACUACGUGCCAGCAGCCGCGGUAAUACGUAGGUGGCAAGCGUUGUCCGGAUUUAUUGGGCGUAAAGGGGGCGCAGGCUGCUUCUUAAGUCUGAUGUGAAAGCCCACGGCUUAACCGUGGAAGUGCAUUGGAAACUGGGAAGCUUGAGUACAGAAGAGGAAAGUGGAACUCCAUGUGUAGCGGUGGAAUGCGUAGAUAUGUGUAGGAAUGCCGAUGAUGAAGAUAACUCACUGGACAGAAACUGACGCUGAAGUGCGAAAGCUAGGGGAGCAAACAGG
rnacentral:rRNA from 1 species